CUCAAGAUAGUGUAUAUAUUCACUGACAGGCACUCUUUCAACUUGCACCGAUUUCCUUAGACUUGAAAUUGUCAAGAUAUUUUUCCUUUAAAGGAAAUGAUUUAACGAUGUCGGCCUUUAUUAUCCUCUUAAUCUUAUCCUAUAUUUCUAUUACUUUUUCUGCGGAUACAAAUACUACAAGCGAGUGCAAUGAAGUUUUUUGGGAAGUUAAAUUAGACUAUGGAAGAAAUGUUACACUUAUUUGUAAAACAAAUACGAAAGAUUUAUGUACAAAGUGCAGAAAAGUAUGGUAUGGAGGCCCUGAAUUUUCAUUACUAUCGCUAGAUGGUUUUCCGUCAGAAUAUUCUUCAAAGUAUUGGCCUUUCUUAGGAAAGAACGGAUUUGAAAUAAUAAUAAGAAAUUUCAGUACGGAAGAUUUGAAUCAAGACUACAUAUGUUCAAUUGGUGAAUACUCUUGCAAAAGAAACCUGACUAUCAACAUGUUUGACAAGCAAGCAUUAGACAGGGAUGUACCAGGAGAUGAUUCAAAUUCAAGUUCCAACAGCAAGGACAUACUGAUUGCAAUUUUAAUAGGUAUCGGAGUUUCCGGAAUUAUAAUUUCCAUUAUUUUGUUUUUGUUUUUCGCAGUACUCAAAUAUGAAUGCUGUGUGUGUAAUGAAACCCAGUCGUACAGAACGGACUCUCCUAUGUUUAACCAUGUUAACAGAUCUGGAUCAGUAAAAUCUAAUUAUAGCCAUAAUAUUCAAAUUACUAGUGAUGAAACAAAACACCCAUUUAUCAAACCUUUGACAUACCCCAAAGAUGAAAAAACACAUAGAGAAGAAAAAGGAUGGAUUUCCAACAAUCGAGUGCAUCGCGAUAAUGGAUUUGACGAUAAUUACGUUACAGAUAGUUUUUGAUGUUUUAUUUGUCUGAAAUAUUGAAAUAGCAUUUGCAGUUACGAUCAUUGUUGCAUUGAUAAGUAUUAU